UGGAUUUUUCUCAGUUUUUCUUCUGUUCAUUCUGUUCACUGCAGGUACAAAGACAAAUAGUUUUUAUAAUGAUCCUAAGUUCGACUACAGAUCAUAUUUUUCCACUAAGUGUUAUGAGUGCACGUAUCUGAUGGAUUAUUGUGUGAAAAAACCAGUGCAAUGUCCCAUUGGAUUUUACAACUGCUUCAGCUCAACAACGGUAAUGGAAAUCGGUAACUUUAGUAUUGAAACUCAGAAAAAUAAAUGUUCUGUUGGCUGUAGAAGUGGGUCCUUGAACUUUGGCGAUGUAAAGGUGUCUGCUUCCUGCUGUGGCACUAACUUUUGUAAUGCCAAAAAUCCAGAUCCCCGAAAGAACACUCCUAAUGGAAAUAAAUGUUGCUAUUGUGAUGGUCAGAGCUGCUCAAACAUAUUGAGCUGUUCAGGGACUGAAGACCGCUGCCUUACAUCUACAGUGAUUGUAGAAGGCCUACCAACGGUUCUAAAAGGGUGUGCCUCUAAAAGUUUCUGUGAUACCCCAAAUUCUGCUAUUAUUAUGGACAUCUCAUGCUGUAAGGGAAACCUGUGUAAUGGUGAUACCCAGGGCAUCACCCAGAGCUCCAUAUAUAACGGUGCUCAGAGCAUCACCCAGAGCUUCCUGUUCCUCUGCUGUUCUCUGCUCUUCUACUUCCUGCUGCACUGAAUCCAGCAGCUCUUCUCAUUCUACAAUGAGACACGCUGUACUGAUUAUAUGCUGUAUUUCUUUGUACUAUCAUCAUUUCAUUAUUCAAAUGAAAAAUCUU